GUGCUUACAUUGGCAGCACAUAGACAAAAUUGGAAUGAAACAGAGAAAAUUAGCUUGGCUCUGGAUCAAGGACAACAUACAAAUUUGUGGAUGGUCCCAUAUUUAA